rnacentral:rRNA from 1 species
AUGGCGGAGAGGGUGACCGCGAUGGCGUCGCAGGGCAUCGUGGUGAUCUUUGGGGCGAGCUACUGCUGCAUGUCCCACACCAUGACGGGGCUCUUUGCGCAACUGGGCGUGAGCUCUACGGUGCACGAGGUGGACAAGGACCCCCAGAGAAAGGAUCUGGAGAGGGCGCUCGCUGGCAUGGUGGGCCAGAGCCCGGCGGUGCCUGCGGUAUUCAUCCGUGGCGCACUCGUCGGCGGUACCAGGCAGGUCAUGGAGCUGCACCUCGGCGGCCAUCUCGUGCCGCUCCUCCGCCAAGCGGGGGCCCUGUAG